ACAAGAAUGACACAUCUACACGGAAAACAAACACUUUUGAGGACAUUCCAACCGACGGCGUCCGAGGCGUCACUAUGAAAUAGGUUCAACAGAAUAGCGCACAGCACACAUCCCUGUUUGACUCCAAACCCAACAGUGACCUUCUCAGAGCAGAGAGCUAUUUUACAUGAUAAAUUUGGUUCUAUCAAGGGCAUCCAAAAUGACCACGCAUAAUACACAGUCAAUGUUAGAAGCCAUAAAAUUGGAUAACAGGACAUUUGAGCGAAUAGUUGCCAUGUCAAUGCUCUUAACCGUUGCAGCCACCGACGCCCCCAUCUACUUAUAAAAAUAACUUACCCAAGUUUAACUAACAAAAUAAAUUUAAGUAACUAAUUUAUGU